rnacentral:rRNA from 1 species
AGUGAACGCUGGCGGCAUGCCUAACACAUGCAAGUCGAACGGUAACAGGCCCGCAAGGGUGCUGACGAGUGGCGGACGGGUGAGGAAUACAUCGGAAUUUGCCCAGUCGUGGGGGAUAACGUAGGGAAACUUACGCUAAUACCGCAUACGACCUAACGGUGAAAGCGGGGACCUGCAAGGGCCUCGCGCGGAUGGAUAAGCCGAUGUCGGAUUAGCUAGUUGGCGGGGUAAGAGCCCACCAAGGCGACGAUCCGUAGCUGGUCUGAGAGGAUGAUCAGCCACACUGGGACUGAGACACGGCCCAGACUCCUACGGGAGGCAGCAGUGGGGAAUAUUGGACAAUGGGGGCAACCCUGAUCCAGCAAUGCCGCGUGUGUGAAGAAGGCC